rnacentral:rRNA from 1 species
UAGGGAAUCUUCCGCAAUGGGCGAAAGCCUGACGGAGCAACGCCGCGUGAGUGAUGAAGGUCUUCGGAUCGUAAAACUCUGUUAUUAGGGAAGAACAAAUGUGUAAGUAACUAUGCACGUCUUGACGGUACCUAAUCAGAAAGCCACGGCUAACUACGUGCCAGCAGCCGCGGUAAUACGUAGGUGGCAAGCGUUAUCCGGAAUUAUUGAGCGUAAAGCGCGCGUAGGCGGUUUUUUAAGUCUGAUGUGAAAGCCCACGGCUCAACCGUGGAGGGUCAUUGGAAACUGGAAAACUUGAGUGCAGAAGAGGAAAGUGGAAUUCCAUGUGUAGCGGUGAAAUGCGCAGAGAUAUGGAGGAACACCAGUGGCGAAGGCGACUUUCUGGUCUGUAACUGACGCUGAUGUGCGAAAGCGUGGGGAUCAAACAGG